GCGUGUGUGAAGAAGGCCUGCGGGUUGUAAAGCACUUUCAAUUGGAAAGAAAAGGGGUUGGCUAAUACCUGACCUUCUUGACGUUACCUUUAGAAGAAGCACCGGCUAACUCCGUGCCAGCAGCCGCGGUAAUACGGAGGGUGCGAGCGUUAAUCGGAAUUACUGGGCGUAAAGCGUACGUAGGCGGUUGGGUCAGUCAGAUGUGAAAGCCCUGGGCUUAACCUGGGAACUGCAUUUGAUACUGCCUGACUGGAGUGUGGUAGAGGGAAGUGGAAUUCCGGGUGUAGCGGUGAAAUGCGU
rnacentral:rRNA from 1 species